rnacentral:rRNA from 1 species
UACGUAGGGUGCAAGCGUUGUCCGGAAUCAUUGGGCGUAAAGAGCUCGUAGGCGGUCCGUCACGUCCGCUGUGAAAACCCAGGGCUCAACCCUGGGCUUGCAGUGGAUACGGGCAGACUAGAGGUAGGUAGGGGAGAAUGGAAUUCCCGGUGUAGCGGUGAAAUGCGCAGAUAUCGGGAGGAACACCGGUGGCGAAGGCGGUUCUCUGGGCCUGACCUGACGCUGAGGAGCGAAAGCGUGGGGAGCGAACAGG